rnacentral:rRNA from 1 species
AUUGAACGCUGGCGGCAGGCCUAACACAUGCAAGUCGAGCGGAUGAGAGAAGCUUGCUUUUCGAUUCAGCGGCGGACGGGUGAGUAAUGCCUAGGAAUCUGCCUGUUAGUGGGGGAUAACUCGGGGAAACUCGGGCUAAUACCGCAAACGUCCUACGGGAGAAAGUGGGGGAUCUUCGGACCUCACGCUAACAGAUGAGCCUAGGUCGGAUUAGCUAGUAGGUGAGGUAAUGGCUCACCUAGGCGACGAUCCGUAACUGGUCUGAGAGGAUGAUCAGUCACACUGGAACUGAGACACGGUCCAGACUCCUACGGGAGGCAGCAGUGGGGAAUAUUGGACAAUGGGCGAAAGCCUGAUCCAGCCAUGCCGCGUGUGUGAAGAAGGUUUUCGGAUUGUAAAGCACUUUAAGUUGGGAGGAAGGGUAUUCAUCUAAUACGUGGGUACUUUGACGUUACCAACAGAAUAAGCACCGGCUAACUCUGUGCCAGCAGCCGCCGUAACAC